rnacentral:lncRNA from 1 species
GAGCCGGGCUGCGCGCGGAGGUAGGGGAUGCAGGCUGGGGGUGAGCAGCAGCGACGGUGCCAUCGGCUGUCGCAUCGGCGUCCUCAGCCCCGCCCCGCGCCUAAGCGGCGCUCGCUGGGAGGGCCUGGCCAUCUUCGCGCGGUGGCCGGGCGCUCCCGGGGUCCCCUGCCUGUGCCCCGUUCCCCCAUCCAGAACCUGGGCUGGAGGUGCUAGGGAGCUCUGGGAGCCUGGGCUGCACGCAGGGAAGUGCUCUCGGCCGCCGGGGUCACAAGACUCCAGGGCUUCACAGUGCCCAAGGCUUGGUGGACAUCGAGCCCACCGGGGAAUCUUUGCCAUCAGCGCCGUGUUUUGAUGCCCGCGGCAAGGAACACCACGAAAUAGGUUUCCUGACACUCAGGUGAGGUGCCAGGUCCUGGGUUACCAAGGUCAGGUCAGGUGGUCUGUACUUGCCACCCCUGGGUCGGCUCUCUACCCUGCUUGACUACAUCACAGGAAAAGGCUGGAAAUGGAUCCGGGGCUUGUUGACCUGUAGCUCAUGGAGGCUGAAGAAUUUCCUCCUUGAAGGCAGACCUGAUUUUCCUCCUCACGGAAGAGUUUAGGCCAGUCAUAGGGUGUUUUUCUUCUAUUUAUUUUAUGUUAUGUUAUGUUAUGUUAUGUUAUGUUAUGUUAUGUUAUGUUAUGUUAUGUUAUGCUAUUUUAUUUUAUUUUAGAGACAGAGUCUCACUCUGUUGCCCAGGCUGGAGUGCAGUGGGGCCAUCUCAGCUCACUGCAACCUCUGCCUCCCGGGUUCAAAUGAUUCUCCUGCCUCAGCCUCCUGAGUAGGUGGGAUUACAGGCGUGCACCACCAUGUCUGUCUAAUUUUUGUAUUUUUGGUAGAGAUGGGGUUUCGCCGUGUUGGCAAGGCUGAUCUAGAACUCCUGAGCUCAAGUGAUCCGCCCGCCUCGGCCUCCCAAAGUGCUAGGAUUACAGGCGUGACCCACUGUGCCUGGCUUCUUCUUUAGUAAAUAAACUAUUUUAUCAAAGUAUAAUAUAUCUUCAGAAUAGUGCACACAUCUUAAGUGUACAGUUGGGUGAAUUUUCACAAAGUGAACACACCUGUGUAACCAGCACCCAGCUCAGGAGAUAGAAUUCUCCUGAAUGGGAGUUAGUGUUUAAUGGUACAGAGUUUCAGUUUUACAAGAUGAAAAUAGCUACGGAGAUGGAUGGUGGUGAUAGUUGUACGUUAUAAAUGUAUUGAAUACCACUAAACUGUACACUCAAAAAUGGUAAAUGGUAAAUCUUAUGUGUGUUUCACCACAAUCGUAAAAAAAAAAAAAGAAAAAAGAUCAGCUGGGUGUGGUGGCACAAGCCUGCAGUCCCAGCCAUUUAGGAGGCUAAAGCAGGAGGAUCACUUGAGCCCAGGACUUUGAGGUUACAGUGAACUAUGAUUAUGACACUACACCCCAGCCUGGGAUCCCAUCUCAAAAAUAAGUUUAAAAAAUUUUAGAAAAAGAUUCCCAGCCACUUAGAAUUCUCCACAUGCCUUCCCAAAGCCAAACACUAUCUUGAUUCAUUUUGCCAGUUUUUAACUUUAUUAUUAUUUAUAUUUUAUAGAGACAGAGGGUGGCUGUGAUGCCCAGGCUCGUCUCAAACUCAUGGCCUCUAGUGAUCCUCUUGCCUCACCCUUCCGAGUAGCUGGGAUUCCAGACACAUGAACUUUAUUUUUAUUUUUAUUUUUUGAGACAGAGUCUCGCUCUGUCACCCAGACUGGAGUGCAGUGGCGCAAUCUCGGCUCACUGCAAGCUCCACCUACCCAGUUCACGCCAUUCGCCUGCCUCAGCCUCCUGAGUAGCUGGGACUACAGGUGCCUGCCACCACGCCCAGCUAAUUUAUUUUUUAUUUUUUUAGUAGAGUCGGGGUUUCACCGUGUUAGCCAGAAUGGUCUCGAUCUCCUGACCUCGUGAUCUGCCUGCCUCGGCCUCCCAAAGUGCUGGGAUUACAGGCGUGAGCCACUGCACCUGGCCAUGAACUUUAUAUAAAAUGGAAUCAUGCAGUGCUGUGAUAGAAUCAUAACCACUAAAGAUAUCCACAUCCUAACCCCCAGAAUCUCUGAAUAUGUUACCUUGCCCAACAUAAGGGACUUUGCAGAUGUGAUUUAGUUAAAGACAUUGAGACAGGGAGAUUAUGCUGUAUUAUUCAGUGUGCCCAGUUUAAGCAGAAGAGUCCUUUAUAAGAGGGAGGUGGAAAAGGUAAGAGUGAUGGGAUGUGAAAAAGACUCCACCUUCUGUUGCUGACUUUGAAGAUUGACAAAGAGGCCAUGAGCCAAGGACUAUGGGGUGGCCUCUAGAAGGUGCAAAAGACAAGGAAACAGAUACUCCCCUGGAACCUCCAGAAGGAACACAGCUUCUACCAAUGCUUUGACUUUAGCCAGUGAUCCUUGUCAGACUUCUACAGAAUUAUAAAAUAAUAAAUUUGUGUUGUUUCAAGCCCAUUAAAUUUGGGGUCAUUUGUUACAGAAGCAAUAAGAGACAAAUACAGGUAUUUACUCUUUGUGUCUGGCAUCUUUCACUCAACUUUUUUUUUUUAGCCCAAGCCCAUGACAGUAGAUCAUUGUAUUUGUACUAUAUAACAUUCCAUUACAUGAACAUGCCACAUAUUCUUCGUCAACUGUUGAUGGACAUUUGUGUUGUUUCCAGUGUGGGCGCUUAUGAAUACUGUGGCUAUGAACUUUCUUGUACAUGUCUUUGGGAUAAGGUAUGUGCAUAUUUCUCUUGCACAUAUAUAGGAAUAGAAUUUCUGGGUUAUAGGGUAUGCAUGUAUAGUGGCUGCUGUGAUGUAUCCCCAACUCUUUCAGAACGAAAGGACCUAUUCCCUUAGCUGCUGGGAGGACCCCUGGCUGGCAGUCCCAGCUGCCAGGGCUCUGUGCAAACUAGUCUCAGCUGAAAAGAACUUAUUUGGCCAAGGUCACACAUGCCUCCUAGGAACGACCUGUGUCAUUCAAUGACUGGUUGAUAUGUAAGGGUGGGGGAUAUAAAGGCCCCCUCCCCCAAUGAUACCUGGAAUAGCUUUGAAGGGUCACCCUGGAUUCAAAGUUCUUCAGGGAUCAGAGGAGGCUUUUGCAGAGGCUACAUACCAACCCAGCUUCUCCCCCACCAACCCUGCUUCCCUCCCUUUCCUGCAGGUGUUGAUCAUGAGAGCACUCCCUAGUCAACUUUCUUUCUUUUUUCUCCCUCUAAUCCAAUAUGAUUGAUAUCCCUAAUCAACUUCCUGCAUGCUAAUCUCCAUCUCAGGAUCAGCUGCCUGGGAACACAACCUACAACAGCUUACGUUAUUCAGCUUUCAUGGUUAUCAAGCAGUCUUUUUUUUUUUUUUUUCCAAGACGCAGUCUUGCUCUAUCGCCCAGGCUGGGUGCAGUGGCGCAAUCUCAGCUCACUGCAACUUCCGCCUCCCAGGUUCAAGCAAUUCUCCUGCCUCAGCCUCCCAAGUAGCUAGGACUACAGGCAUGUGCCACCAUGCCCAGCUAAUUUUGUAUUUUUAGUAGAGACAGGGUUUCACCAUGUUUCCCAGGCUGGUCUUGAACUCCUGACCUCAAGCGAUCCACCCUCCUUGGCCUUCCAAAGCGUUGGGAAUUACAGGCAUGAGCCACCACGCCCGGGCAGUUUUCUAAAGUGGUUGUCGUCCU